AAAUGCGAUAAGUAAUGUGAAUUGCAGAAUUCAGUGAAUCAUCGAAUCUUUGAACGCACAUUGCGCCCGCCAGUAUUCUGGCGGGCAUGCCUGUCCGAGCGUCAUUUCAACCAUCAAGCCCCCGGGCUUGUGUUGGGGACCUGCGGCUGCCCGCAGGCCCUGAAAACCGGUGGCGGGCUCGCUGUCACACCGAGCGUAGUAGCAAUCACCUCGCUCAGGGCGUGCUGCGGGUUCCGGCCGUUAAACAGCCUUACAAAACCCAAGGUUGACCUCGGAUCAGGUAGGAAGACCCGCUGAACUUAAGC
rnacentral:misc_RNA from 1 species